UACCAUCUAAGAGACUGUCAAACAGUACACUGCAAGAGAAGGGACAAAGGAAGCAGCCCUGACACAGAAGAAGAGUCCCUGGCUUAAACCAUUUGGAAAGUAAGACUGUUGAAAGCAUGUGGAGAGGCCUGGCCAGUACAGAACAGACAUUUCUACUGGAAAAUCUAGGCCUGUGGGUGCAUUGGGGUCACUCUGCCAUAUAACCUGUGAGUGGCUGGCCAGCUGCAGCACACACACAGACGUAGCUGGGAGUGACCAGCAUGAUGGAGGCUGUUUGUGAGCAGUCCUGACUCGAGGCUACAGCAGCAAAGCAGCGCAAAGGGCCGCCCAGGUUAGAGGGCAGAGGUAACACAGCUAUUCACUAGUCUAGAUUGUCCCUAGGGUAUGUCACACCUGCCUUCUUCUGGCUUUUGUGACAUUCAGGCUAAGACACCAGUCUCUCCCCAUUCACUGAACAGGAGUUGAGGUGCCUAACCCAGGCUCUGUGAAUCCCAGAGAUUUUCUAGUUGCCUAAAAGUGAGUUGUUGUGACACUCAGCAUCUCAGUGUCUAACUCCUUGUGUGAAUUCAGACUGAGAGGCCUACAUUCCUUUGUGGAGCUGGGCCUAAUCUCCCUUUGUGAUAGCAGCACAAUAUCAUGAUCUUGUCCUGAAAGUUUAUACAUGGAGCCCUGUGAACUGCGGCGUGUGAAUCAGCUUAAAGCAAAGUAGGCAGUGGACACACAGUCAAAUCAGCUUUAUGAAAAGCCAGAAAACCAAAAGAAGGGGUGUCUCCCUUGUGAAGUAACUGUAGUUCUUCGAGACGUGCGUCCCUAGGGGUGCUCGACACUGGCCUGCGUGCACCUCACAUGCCCUUGAAUGGAGAUAUUCAUUAGCAGUGUCCGUUUGGCCUGCACAUGUGCUGUUCGUAUCCCCUUGUCCUGUAUCGAGGCUAUAUCACACUGUGCAGCUGAACC